rnacentral:rRNA from 1 species
GAUGAACGCUGGCGGCGUGCCUAAUACAUGCAAGUCGAGCGAACGGACGAGAAGCUUGCUUCUCUGAUGUUAGCGGCGGACGGGUGAGUAACACGUGGAUAACCUACCUAUAAGACUGGGAUAACUUCGGGAAACCGGAGCUAAUCCCGGUUAAUAUUUUAAACGCAAUGGUUAAAAAGUGAAAGACGGUCUUGCUGUCCCUAUUGGAUGGAUCCGCGCUGCAUUAGCUAUUUGGUAAGGUAACGGCUUACCAAGGCAACGAUGCAUAGCCGACCUGAGAGGGUGAUCGGCCACACUGGAACUGAGACACGGUCCAGACUCCUACGGGAGGCAGCAGUAGGGAAUCUUCCGCAAUGGGCGAAAGCCUGACGGAGCAACGCCGCGUGAGUGAUGAAGGUCUUCGGAUCGUAAAACUCUGUUAUUAGGGAAGAACAUAUGUGUAAGUAACUGUGCACAUCUUGACGGUACCUAAUCAGAAAGCCACGGCUAACUACGUG